GGCCAUACCAGCGAAAUUAAUUAAACAACCCCAAACCCUCAUUCAUUAGAAAUCUCUGAAUGACACAGAAAAGAUUCGUGUUGCACACAUUUCUGUCUCUAAAAUCGACAUUUUCUAACUGAAGAGAUUGUGCAAGACAACAGUUCCCCGCGGAAGAUAAUGUUACCUCUAGCUUACCUGCUCCGGUUCUUAAGGCAAGGGGCGAGAAACAGAACCGAUGUGCCUACCGCUGCCUUUCAGCCGUGGAAAGCAGCGGAUUUCAUAGCUCAUUAAAACGUGAUGGCCGUGACACGAUAAACGGCUUACGGGCGCUUGAACAAAGCGAUGCUGCUCUGGAGAAGCAUCGUGUGCAACAAAGUCAUCUUUCUGACAGCUCCUGCUUUUCAGCAGAGCUGCAGGAACGCCGGACUCGCUGGGAAAACGCUAACAAAGGAAAACCCGAAGGAACCCGAACGAACCAGCCCAGCCGCUGAAUUCCCCGGCAGCAAUCGAGAAGCACCUUCCGAAAAAAUCACCCGCGCGCCUCCUUCCACCUUCGGCCGAACAAAGGCAGCCGACCACCCGCCGGCAGAUCACAACAGAAGACGGACAACUUGGGUGUUCGGACUUUUCCCAUGAUUUAAUGUGUGCCCCACUGUGCUUUCAACUCACCCCAGCUGAGGACUAAAACAGGGCAUGAGAAUUCCACGAUCUUUUGAUCUUCCAGAAGGCGAGGACAGCACAGAAGCUUCUUGGAGCGGAGUCCAGUAGAGUCACGUUAAUAUCCUGACUCACAUAAGGCUUGUUUCAUAUGUGACGCAUAGGGUAGUCCCCAGAUUUAAGUCUUCUGCAUAUUUGUGCUUGUUUUGUACUUCAUGAAAUGGAAUACUUGAUUUUAAAGCAAAGUUGUAUAAAUAUUACUUUUCUUUUAUUCUAGUUGCUUACAAAAUUGUAUGUAAAAUAAUAGUAACAGAAGGUAAAAUAACAGCUUUACUGUAGUCUGAACAGUAGUAAUGUUUUCAUUUUAGAAAGCUGCACAGGCUUUGGUCACCAAAAUACCAGUUUUAUUAUACCACCUGUGCUCAACUAAUUCUUCACAAUUAAUAUUCAUGUAAGAAUUACUAUUAAUUGAAGUGUUAUGGUUUCAAUUGUAAUGUCAAAAUAUACAUUUUUACAGUUUUUCAAUAAAAUGGAACACUUGCUCUUUUUUUUUUUUAAAAUUCAGAUUCCAAUUUAGAAGGGCUUAUAUGCAAAAUAAGAUAUUUAAAAGUCACCACUGAAGGCAUCGAGAGCAGAACAUGAGUUCUUUUCUCAUUCUUACUGAACUGCUUCAUCCUGAAUAAUUAAUGUCAAUUAGCACCAGUGGAAACGACUGACUUAAUUACAAACAGUAUUAAUACAUAAGUAACAUUUAGAGAUGACGAUCUCCCCAUUCCUGUCACUGGCAAAUAAAGACCUAAAAAGUAAAAAGUAUGAGAUGCACCCACUUUAAAUAACCAAUUCCUUCCAAUGGCUCAGAAGCCUUAUAUGGUACAAGUAUUUUCAGGUACUUCUGAAUGGGUGUUCCAAGUUGUUUUUUAUUAGUAAAUUUAAUACAUAUAGACACAUAUUAAAUAACAAAACUGACAAAAUACAAUAUAUGAAAAAUAAAAUAUAUCUAUACAGCUUGUAACAGCAAUUAUUUAUCUAUGAAUGAGACAAUAUUUCCAGUUAACACAAUAUUCUUCAUAAUUUCUAACUGUAACAAUCUUAGACAAAAUCUAAAAGAAAAAAUUUUUUUUUUUUUCCCCAUGUCUUUUAAGAUGCUGUUUACACCUUAGAGAUGCUUGUAAUGUUAGCUGGUAAUCACAGUUUUUUAUUCAACAUUAGGCAAGCAGAACACUACCUGUUCACCACUGCAAGGAUGGACAACAAUACAUCCUCCCACUUCUAGUCCUCUGCAUGAUACCUACGAAUACAUAUCAUGUCAACCUGAAUGGUGUGUAAUCAUUAGAAAACGGUAUGUUCUUGAAUAGAAGAAUGAUUUGAUAUACAAUUAUCUGCAUAGAGGGACUUUAAGAUCAUAAGAUUGUGAUUGCUAAUCACAUCUUACUUUAUAGCCUAAAUUUUAAAUGCUCAUCUGCUAAAUACACCAGAUAUUUUAAAGAUUAGUUCUUACUGCAUUUACCUAAUAUGUGUGUCACAACAUAAAGGCCUGUGUCACCUCUCCAACAGCUUGAGCUUAACUUUGAGAAGGAUUCCAGGUUUGUUCUAAUCUUUUAAAGCCAAAAUUUGAAAAAUAUCUCCAGAUACAAUUAAAAAUUUGAAUAUAAAAUACUUUAGAAUUAAUUUUAUAUUUAAAGGAUUUCAAUACAUCUUUAAAGAUAUCAUUUUUCUCUUCACUUUUUAUUUAAUAUUGGGAUAUUUAAAAUGCAAU
ensembl:lncRNA